rnacentral:rRNA from 1 species
GGGGAAAAAUUAAAAAAAAAAACUAAUAAAAAAAUUUUUAAAGUGUAUUUUAAUGGGGGUUAAAGUAUAUAUUUAGAAAAAAUUAAUAAAUUUAUAGUGUAAUAGUAUUGUAAAAGAAUUUUUAAAUAGGGGAAAAUUUAAAUUAUUUUUAAGUAAAUUUUAUUUAUUGUAUCUUGUGUAUCAGAGUUUAUUAAUAAUAUUUUUUAAUAAAAAAUUUCUCGAAUUUAAAAGAGUUAAUUAAUUAUAAAAGUUAAUGUUGAAUAAUUAUUUUUAAUAAUUAAUUUGAAAUGAAAUGUUAAUCGUUUUUAAAAAUAUCUAGUUUUUUUAGAAAAAAAUUUAAUUUUAAAUAUUAAAUUUAAAAAUUUUAUUUAAUAAAGUUUUAUUUAUUAAUAUUUAAUAUUUUAAGGGAUAAGCUUUAAAAUAAAUUUUUAUAAUUAAUUUUAAUUUAUUAAAAUUUUAAAAUUUAAAUUGUUAUAUAAAUUAUAAUUUUUUAAUAAUAGAGUAUCUAAUUCUAGUUUUUUAUAAAAUUUUAUAAAUCAUAUUAUNAAAAUAUAUUUUAAUUAAAUAAAUUUAGUUAUAAUGAUAAAAUUAGUAUAUAAGAUUUAUAAAAUUAUUAUUUUAUAAAAAGUUAAUUAAAGGAAUUCGGCAAAUAGAUAUAUUCACUUGUUUAUCAAAAACAUGUCUUUUUGAUGUUAAUUUAAAGUCUAAUCUGCCCACUGAUAAUAUAUUAAAGGGCUGCAGUAAUUUGACUGUACAAAGGUAGCAUAAUCAUUAGUCUCUUAAUUGGUGACUUGUAUGAAAGAUUGGAUGAAAUAUAAACUGUCUCUAAUUAAUUAAUAGAAUUUAAUUUUUUAGUUAAAAAGCUAAAAUAAAUUUAAAAGACGAGAAGACCCUAUAGAGUUUAAUAUUAAAUUUAAUUAUUAUUUAUUUAUAAAUUUAAGAAAUUAAGAUUGAAUGAGAUAUUUUAUUGGGGUGAUAGAAAAAUUAAAUUAACUUUUUUUAAAUGUUUACAUUUAUAUAUGAAUAUAUGAUCCAUUUUUAGUGAUUAAAAGAAAAAAUUACCUUAGGGAUAACAGCGUAAUUUUUUUUUUUAGUUCAAAUAGGAAAAAAAGUUUGCGACCUCGAUGUUGGAUUAAGAUAAAAUUUAAAUGCAAAAGUUUAAAAUUUUGAUCUGUUCGAUCAUUAAAAUCUUACAUGAUCUGAGUUCAAACCGGUGUAAGCCAGGUUGGUUUCUAUCUUUAAAUAAUAAUGAUAUUUUAGUACGAAAGGAUCAAAUAUUAAAAAUAAUUUUAUUUAAUUGAAUAUUAUUAAUUAUGUAUUU